GAUGGGGUGUUGGGCUUGUUGGGGCAUGUUCCCACCAGGCUCCCUUCUUUUAAGGGGAUGCUCCCCGUCCUGUCCACUCAUUUAGAGGACGUUCAGCAGAAAAUAAAAGCACAGAAACCCGCAUCACUCUGUGAGUUUCCUGCAGUUGGAGAGUGAAAGAAGGAGAGAGCAGUGUGUGAUGGGAAUCUUACCCGGAAGAAACAAUCGCUGCGUGAUGAUGAAAGAGAGGGGCUGUAAUGCGGAAUGAGGACAAGAAUAGAUUCCAAAUGCUCAAUAACUGAGAUACAAAAAAAGGAAGCCCAGAUGAUCCAUGAAAAGUAAAUAAUCAGAGCUCUGCUGUGCUGUGCUUCAUGCAAGAUGCAGACUUUGCUUAUUGCUCCAACUCUCCUCCCAGGAUCAAACCAUGUUUGCAUGUGAAUCAGAGAAAGACAAGGAAAGGGAUGCCAGCUGCUGAAGAGGAGGGAGUGCUGUGAAGGCCAGAAACCUCCCUGUGGGUCUGAUGAAUCCUUUACAGUUCUGAGGGGCUUAUUAAACAUUUAUGAUGGACGUCAUGACUUUCUGUGUCAUUGUUUUCUUCUGUCUGUCCGCUUGACUUACCUGUUCUUUCCAAUGCUUGCGUGUAUUUUGUUGAUCAAAAAUACCUCAGCCGUACUUUUCUUUGGAUUUUUCUUCUUUUUUUCAGACCCCCUGCAGAUUGAAUGCCCUCCAUUGAAGUUAAUAAUUCACUCAUAUAUUAACCUUGCUAGUUACUCCAGAAGCUGUUUUCAUCUCUGCUUUUUUUUUUUUUUUUUUAUUACGUGUGAGUAAGAGAAUAUAAGGAAGAGAGAACCUGACUGUUGUGGGAUUAAGUGUACUGUUUAUGAUUUAUUUACUGCUCACCAAAGACGGUUGAUGAUUUGACGUUUCUCACACAAACAUCUACACUUAACUGCACUGUCAACAAACAGGGGAUCAGGCUCACUCCCAUAUGCUGAGUUAGCCAGUUUGCCCCGGACAUUAAAACACCUUCAGAUACAUUAAACACAACACACAUGAAGCAGAUGUAGAGUCACACCACAACAGCACAUUCACUUCAGAACUGGAGCAGACUGCCAAGAAACGUUAAAUCAUUUAUAUUUGGACACCACAACGAGUUAACAUUUAAACUUGAAACUUUUUGUCUUACUAAAAAAGAAAAAAAAAAGUAAGUAAAGUAUUCACCUGUUUAAAAAACUUAUAUUCGUUUUCAUUGAAACUACAGAUUUUAAAUAAAAGAUAUUUGCAGCUGCCACACCUGCAAACAUGACCUCAUGAAAUCAGUGGUUUUAGGAUUUAGGUUGCAGCGUUACCAUGUUGACUGAUGCCAGCUCAGGCUGUGGUGGGAAUUAGAGAAGCUCUUUUGGUUUAAAGACCCCCUCCCAUGAAGGCUUUUGGUGUUUUUGAACAUGUUCUCGUGGCAAAUUUCUGAUGACGGAGGACAUAUUUAAAGAAAAUGAAGCAUAACAUUGCAUUUCUGAGUAUUUCUUUAUUCAAAUUGUUGCAAAUCAGGAGCAGACUCAAAAACGCAGUUGGAAAAAGAUUAUAGAUGUGUCAUACCGCUCUGUAAAAGACCACUGGGAACGCUUAUACAACAGAUCAAAAGAUGAUCAGAGUGGGACCUAAAUGACUUUUCAGCUUUAGUAAGUAAAAUGUAGUUUGUGCCUCAAUUCAGAUUAUUUUAUUUCUGUGUUAGUUUAGUAAUUUAAAUAUGUAUAAAGCAGGCUAAAUGACAUUCUGUUGCAGGGUAAGGUUUAGAAAGAAAAAAUGAAGAUUUUGAUCUUGGUCUGACUUUGUAAAUGAUCCACAGGAAAAAAAAAAAAAAAAAACUCACUGAAGAAUUUUGCACUAAACUGUCAACUAACGUUACAAGUUUUAUCAGGAAAGUCAUUUAUUUGCACACUGGGUUUUAUCUGUGUUUUAACAUGAAUCACGUUUUGUGUAAACUAUUUAAUGGAAUUUUUUUGUUUUUGUUGUAUUUUUAAUGUGUUGUGAAGGUUAUAUGGUAAACAUGUAAAUGUGUUUUGGGCACCAUAGAUAAAGAGAAUGUGUUGAUUGUGUAAAACUAAGAGUAUCAGGUUAAGCUGGAUAAAAAAUGAUUUAAUAAUUUCUGAUUUAGAUAUAUAUAUAUA